UCCGCCCUUUCGCUAUUCAUUCAUUUUUUUGGAACUGACAGCGUGAAGAGCAUAUUAGCUUUCUUAUACGCGGUGUUGGUGUUGUGGCUGCACACCAGGAGAAUGAGGCGGAUGAAGUCAUUGCUGGCCUAAACCAAUUGGGGAAGAGAAAGAAUGCCAAGGAGAAUAUGAAUGGAAUACUGACCGGAUGAUUGGUGGCGAACCGUGAUGAACAACUACAACGACGAAGAUUGGAUCGCUAACUUUAGGAUCAGAAGAGAUACAUUUCAUAUGUUAGCCACAUUAUUGCGUGACGAAUUGGAACCGCGGUGAUAUCACCAUCAGUGGAUCUCCAGUUUCAUUCUGUAUAGUCGGUGAUAGUGCAUAUCCCUCAUUGCCAUGGCUGCUACUUCCAUUUUCUGGCGCUUCUCUACACCCAAGCAAGAG